GUGCCAGCAGCCGCGGUAACACGAACCGGACGAACGUUAUUCGGAAUCACUGGGCUUAAAGGGUGCGUAGGCGGCCUGACAAGUUGGGUGUGAAAUCCCUCGGCUUAACCGAGGAAUUGCGCUCAAAACUGUCGGGCUUGAGGGAGUUAGAGGUGAGCGGAACUUAGGGUGGAGCGGUGAAAUGCGUUGAUAUCCUAAGGAACACCAGUGGCGAAAGCGGCUCACUGGAGCUCUUCUGACGCUGAGGCACGAAAGCUAGGGGAGCGAACGGGAUUAGAUACCCCGGUAGUCCUAGCCGUAAACGAUGAGCACUGGAUCGGAGGACACUCCAUAGUCUUCUGGUCGUAGCGAAAGUGUUAAGUGCUCCGCCUGGGGAGUAUGGUCGCAAGGCUGAA
rnacentral:rRNA from 1 species